AUGUUAUCAAACAUUAUCUCUGGGUCAGAUGGGACUUGAACCUGACGCACACCAGCUGAAAACAUAAUGUCAUGAGACUCGCUAGAUUUCCAUCAGUUGGAGCAAGUUUUCGAGGUGGAGCGAAGGGUCUGUUUGUGUGCUGCACAUCUGUGUGACUGCACUGUAAAUGCUGGAGAUCAUAGCGGGUCAGACAGCACCAAUGGAGAGAGAGAGAGAGAGCUCACAUUCAGGGUGUGAGCUCCAGCAUUUGUUGUUUACUCUCAGUGACGUACAGACUGUGUUGGUGCUUUUCACCGCCUGGUUCAGUGGUUUGGAGAAUACACAAGUGCAGAUAUGCUCAACAGAACUCUCUACAGAACAUUAACAACCAAAACGAAACAUGGGGAAGUGUUUUUGUACAUGUUCUGCCGCUGAGAGUUUGGCUCGAUUAUCGCUUCAUCCCUGCGAAAAGACAGUGUGUAAUGGCGAUUUGCAGGAGUUGGGUCGCUCUUGUUUUGCUGUUAUUCGUGUGGAAUCCUGGCUCCGAGGCUGCAGAUCCAAAAAAACUGAACGAUCCCCAGAUUUUGAGAUCUGUAGGUGAUGAUGCCCUGCUGCCGUGUACAAUUAAUACUGAACAAACUGUCUCACAAUUCAUGUGGCAACACAGGCGUGGUCAACAACAAUGGAACUUUUUCACAGCAAUUUUCAAAAAUGGAAAGGAUGAAAGACCUGACGAUAUAUUUGACGGCAGAAUGACCUACGUUGGCCAAAGUUCCAAAAAUGCAUCGAUGUAUUUGAGAAAUAUUACCCCAAGUGAUGAGGGGAUAUACAAAUGUAUUUUCACUUUAUUCCCUGAUGGGCCUGUUGAAGAGGACAUACAGCUAAUCGUAAGAGCUCCUCCGACUGUUACCAUCAAAACAUAUCCAGACUUUUCUCUGAUUGACUGCUGGAAACGCCUCGUUGUCAUCUGUACAGCAGCAAAUGCAAAGCCAGCCGCCAGUAUCACUUGGCAAACCCCUUUUGUUGUACAUACCAAUGAAAAUAUUGGGCCUCCUGCUGAAAAUGGGACUGUGACUGUCUCUAACAGGUUUCAACUGUGUCCGAAUAAAUCGCUUCAUGGGCAGAAGAUUGUCUGUGUUGUGGAACAUCCAACCUUCAUAGCUUCAAAACAAGUUCCUUAUCAGCUGACCAUUGACUACAUGUCAUCAGCUUUUAUUGACCAUCAGAUGACUGAAGAUGGCGGCUUAUACCUGAUUUGUAUUGCAGACGCUAAUCCACCUCCGACUGAAUACAUCUGGACAAAGAAGAAUGACUCUAUUCCAGAAGGUGUGAUAAUACAAAAUGACAAAAUUAAAUUCUCCAAGUUGACUCCUGGACUUAAUGGGCUUUAUAUAUGUGAAGCAAGCAACACCGCUGGGACUGCAUCAGGAUCCUUUUAUUUUUUUCCAAUUGCAGAUGAUCAGCAGCCACGUCAUUACAAGGUGCCCUUCAUCAUCGUAAUCCUGAUGCUGAUAAUUCUGCUCGGCGUUCUCAGCUAUCUUUAUCAUAGAGCACGUAAAGAAACAUACACAAAGAAAUAGUGACAAAGAAACUUCCCCAGAAAUGGAUGUCCCUGAGACGUUCCCAAGGCUCCAAACAGAACGUGGUGAGGUGGAAGGAAAUGAAUCAUCUGUUUAAUCAAAUUGAUGACAGAUUCAACUGGAGCAUCAAAGAACAAAGAAAGAACAAAGAAAAUUUACAGCCCAGGAACAGGCCCUUCAGCCCUCCAAGCCUGGGCUGAUCCAAUACCACUGGCUAAACCUGUCGCCCAGUUCCUAAGCACCUGUAUCCCUCUGCUCCCCACCUAGUCAUGCAUCUGUCCAGAUGCAUCUGAAAUGAAUCUACCAUGCCUACCUCUACCACCUGCGCUGGCAACGCAUUCCAGACACCCACCACCCUCUGUGUAAAAUACUUGCCACAUGUAUGCCCUUUAACCUUUCACUUCUCACCUUGAAAGCGUGACCUCUCGUUAUUGAAUCCUUCACCCUGGGAAAAAGCUUAUGUCUAUCUAUCCUGUCUAAUACCCUUCAUGAUUUUGUAAACAUCAAUCUCCUUUUCUCUCAUGAAAACAAACCUAACCGACACAACUGCUCUUCAUAGCUAGCACCUUCCUUACCAGGCAACAUCCUCGUAAACUUUCUCUGCACCCUCUCCAAAGCAUCCACAUCUUUUUGGGAAUGUCGCAACGAGAAAUGUACACAGUAUUCGAAAUGCGGCCGAACUAAUGUCUUGUACAAUUUUAAUAUGACCUGCCAGCUCUUAUUCUCAAUACCCCGUCCGAUGAAGGCAAGCAUACCAUAUGCCUUCUUGACCACUCUAUCCACCUGUGCAGCAACCUUCAGGGUACAAUGGACCUGCACUCCCAGAUCUCUCUGCUCAUCAACUUUUCCCAAGGCUCUUCCAUUCACUUUGUAAUUCGCUCUAGAACUAGACUUGCCUAAAUGCAUCACCUCACAUUUGUCUGGACUGAACUCCAUCUGCCACUUCUCCGCCCAACUCUCCAGUCUAUCUAUAUUCUCCUGUAUUCUUUGACAGUGCCUUAUGCUUUCUGCUACUCCCCCAAUGUUCGUGUCAUCUGCAAACUUGCUCAUCAUACCAACAGUGUCUUCUUCCAAAUCAUUUAUGCAUAUCACAAACAACAGCGGCCCCAGCACCAAUCCCUGUGGAACACCACUGGUCAGCUUUCUCCAUUCCGAGAGACUCCCUUCAACUACUACUCUCUGUCUCCUGUUGUUCAACCAGUUCUUUAUCCACCUAGCUGGAACACCAUGCACACCAUGUGACCUCACUUUCUCUAUUAGUUUACCAUGGGGAACCUUUGUCUUAUCAAUGAGUCUGAAGACCAAACCACUGUGACAGUCAGCCUUCCAGAGUCAGAAUUCCUACAGUCUAGAAACAGGCCCUUUGGCCCAACAACUUCACACCAACUCUCUGAAAAGUAUCCCACCCAGACCCAUUACCCUACCUUGUUAGUGUACAUCUCCCCUGACUAAUGCACCUAACCUACACAACCCUGAACACUAUGGGCAAUUUAACUUGCCCAAUACACCUAACCUACACAUGUUGGAGUGUGGGAGGAAACUGGAGCACGAGAUGAAAUCCACACAGACACGAGGAGAACAUGCAGACUCCACACAGACAAUCACCUGAGGCUGGAAUCGAACCCUGGUCCCUGGCAAUGUGAGGGUACAGAGCAAACCACUGAGCCACGGUGCCUCACAGUUAUCCUGACAUUGCUUUUGAUUUGUUUGUGGCCUGCAUCUCGUAAAACAUUUGAGGAGCUGUUCUACUGUGCUUUAAUCAUGAUACUGUGUAAUGGAAUGGUCUCUGUAAAUCUGGGUCUUUCAAGUUCAUUAGCUGCUGUUUUAGCGUGUUACCCAGCAUGGUGAUGAAACGUCUGAAAAUGAACCUUCCAGCUCAGCGAGCAAACUUACAUCCAGAACCUGAGCUACAAAUCUUAUCAAAAUUCGCUACUCCUCUUAAAGCUACAAUAUUGUCACAUCCUUAAACAGAGAUCACCGAUUCAUCCAAGUCGGGUAGAUGGAACAGGACACAUACCUCGAGAAAUAGCCUCACUGUGGAGAAAGUGAGGUCUGCAGAUGCUGGAGAUCAGAGCUGAAAAUGUGUUGCUGGAAAAGCGCAGCAGGUCAGGCAGCAUCCAAGGAACAGGAAAUUCGACGUUUCGGGCAUAAGCCCUUCAUCAGGAAUGCCUCACUGUCCCAACUCCCAUACUUAAUGAACUGAGCAAGGAAAGCAAUGCCUUAUUAAACACCCCAACCGUAUGUGACUCAGAAUUAUAUGCCUGACUCCUCAGUGUCCUUAUUCUAUAACACUAUCCAAGCUUCAGCUUUUAAUUGUAUAAGUCCUGUUCUUGUUUGUUUUACCCCACGUUUAUCCACAUGAAGCACCAUGUGCCACAUCACUCUCAGAGACACUGGAUUGCAAAAAGCCAUAU